rnacentral:rRNA from 1 species
UACGAAGGGGGCUAGCGUUGUUCGGAAUUACUGGGCGUAAAGCGUACGUAGGCGGAUUGUUAAGUGAGGGGUGAAAUCCCGAGGCUCAACCUCGGAACUGCCUUUCAUACUGGCAAUCUUGAGUCCGGGAGAGGUGAGUGGAACUCCUAGUGUAGAGGUGAAAUUCGUAGAUAUUAGGAAGAACACCAGUGGCGAAGGCGGCUCACUGGCCCGGAACUGACGCUGAGGUACGAGAGCGUGGGGAGCAAACAGG